UACACGACCGUACCGCAAACCGACACUGGUGCGCGAGAUGAGUAUUCUAAGGCGCUUGAGAGAACUCAGGAGAAGGAACUCGGCAAAUUGACACCGUAACUUCGGAAGAAGGUGUGCCUUUAGUAGGUGAAGGGAUUUACUCCUGGAGCCCAAUGAGGUUGCAAAAAAUCGGUGGCUGCGACUGUUUAUUAAAAACACAGCACUCUGCAAACACGAAAGUGGACGUAUAGGGUGUGACGCCUGCCCGGUGCUGGAAGAUUAAAUGAUGGGGUGCAAGCUCUUGAUUGAAGUCCCAGUAAACGGCGGCCGUAACAAUAACGGUCCUAAGGUAGCGAAAUUCCUUGUCGGGUAAGUUCCGACCUGCACGAAUGGCGUAACGAUGGCCACACUGUCUCCUCCUGAGACUCAGCGAAGUUGAAAUGUUUGUGAUGAUGCAAUCUCCCCGCGGAAAGACGGAAAGACCCCAUGAACCUUUACUGUAGCUUUGUAUUGGACUUUGAACAGAUCUGUGUAGGAUAGGUGGGAGGCUUUGAAGCAGGGUCGCUAGAUCUUGUGGAGCCAACGUUGAAAUACCACCCUGGUGUGUUUGAGGUUCUAACCUAGGCCCGUAAUCCGGGUUGGGGACAGUGCAUGGUAGGCAGUUUGACUGGGGCGGUCUCCUCCCAAAGUGUAACGGAGGAGUUCGAAGGUACGCUAGUUACGGUCGGACAUCGUGACGAUAGUGCAAUGGCAUAAGCGUGCUUAACUGCGAGACUGACAAGUCGAGCAGAUGCGAAAGCAGGACAUAGUGAUCCGGUGGUUCUGUAUGGAAGGGCCAUCGCUCAACGGAUAAAAGGUACUCUGGGGAUAACAGGCUGAUACCGCCCAAGAGUUCAUAUCGACGGCGGUGUUUGGCACCUCGAUGUCGGCUCAUCUCAUCCUGGGGCUGUAGCCGGUCCCAAGGGUAUGGCUGUUCGCCAUUUAAAGAGGUACGUGAGCUGGGUUUAAAACGUCGUGAGACAGUUUGGUCCCUAUCUUCCGUGGGCGCUGCAGAUUUGAGGAAGCCUGCUCCUAGUACGAGAGGACCGGAGUGGACGCACCUCUGGUGUAUCGGUUGUCACGCCAGUGGCAUUGCCGAGUAGCUAUGUGCGGAAGAGAUAACCGCUGAAAGCAUCUAAGCGGGAAACUCGUUUCAAGAUGAGAUCUGCCGGGGCCUUGAGCCCCCUGAAGAGUCGUUCAAGACCAGGACGUUGAUAGGUCGGGUGUGGAAGCGCAGUAAUGCGUUAAGCUAACCGAUACUAAUUGCUCGUGCGGCUUGACCC
rnacentral:rRNA from 1 species